GCUUUUGUAGGAUACUCUUGGCUAUUAUGGGUUACCUCCGCCUCAUCUCAUAUAUGCCCAUGGAACUCAAAAUCUUCACAUAGAAUUAUUAAGGUGUUGCUAGUUCCUACUUCGGCUGGGUCUUCUGGGCUUUUGCCAAACAAUAUAACCCUUCAGUGGCAGCCUUAAUGGAACCAUGUACUACCGGAGAAAAAGCUGACAUGAUUAUUUGCAAUCUUGGCUUCGAUUCCUCUCACUGUGUAGAAUUCAAAUGGCAUUUUGCUUCUCUAGGAUGACCUGAUUCGGGUUGACAUUUUGGCAAAUAAUUGUCAAUUCAUUCAUGUCAAGAUUUAGUGGAGUGAAAGAGAAUAGGAGAUUAUGUUUACUGCAGUUUAUGGGAGUCCCCAAAGGCAAAAAUGUUGUUACUUAUUGGACCACCUCAACCAACUCAGUAAAACUAUUGAUGGAC
rnacentral:lncRNA from 1 species